rnacentral:rRNA from 1 species
CCGACGGUGAGAGGUGAAAGCUGGGGGAGCAAACCGGAUUAGAUACCCGGGUAGUCCCAGCUGUAAACUAUGCAAACUCAGUGAUGCAUUGGCUUGUGGCCAAUGCAGUGCUGCAGGGAAGCCGUUAAGUUUGCCGCCUGGGAAGUACGUACGCAAGUAUGAAACUUAAAGGAAUUGGCGGGGGAGCACCACAAGGGGUGAAGCCUGCGGUUCAAUUGGAGUCAACGCCAGAAAUCUUACCCGGAGAGACAGCAGAAUGAAGGUCAAGCUGAAGACUUUACCAGACAAGCUGAGAGGUGGUGCAUGGCCGUCGCCAGCUCGUGCCGUGAGAUGUCCUGUUAAGUCAGGUAACGAGCGAGAUCCCUGCCUCUAGUUGCCACCAUUACUCUCAGGAGUAGUGGGGCGAAUUAGCGGGACCGCCGCAGUUAAUGCGGAGGAAGGAAGGGGCCACGGCAGGUCAGUAUGCCCCGAAACUCUGGGGCCACACGCGGGCUGCAAUGGUAACGACAAUUGGUUUCGAAUCCGAAAGGAUGAGGUAAUCCUCAAACGUUACCACAGUUAUGACUGAGGGCUGCAACUCGCCCUCACGAAUAUGGAAUCCCUAGUAACUGCGUGUCAUUAUCGCGCGGUGAAUACGUCCCUGCUCCUUGCACACACCGCCCGU